rnacentral:tRNA from 1 species
AGGGCUAUAGUUAACUAUAACAUUUGGGUUGCAUUCAAAAAGUAUUGAUAUUGAGUCAAUUAGCCUUA